rnacentral:lncRNA from 1 species
CCCAUUGACUCUAAUGGUUGACAUGCUUCAUUCCCUCCCUUUCACAGCCUCUACCUUACCACCAAGAGAGUGGAGGACAUCGUCCUGAGGCUCGUCUCCUUGCGCCAGGCCUUCACUGUGAGUGGACCCACUGUUCUUUUUGUCUCUGUGACUUCUUGUUCUGUCUCCAAGAGGAAGAGGUCUCACCCUAACUCUUCCCUAGACCCUGCUUGGUUCCACCCUGAGCAGGAACCAUCUGUUUGUGGCAGGAAAGGCCCUCCUGGGCGGCCUUGUUCAGGCCAACCACAUGGUAACUCACUAACUCAUUCUCUUUCAAGGGAAAGAGAGCGUCCCUGAGGGGAAAUGUGUUCUGUUCACUAAGAUGCUCUUUUCUUUGUCAUAGGACGAGGCCAAAUUCAUCCGUACCUAUAACGACUUUGUGGACUACCUGAGUGACCCCUCCAAGCGGAAUGACAUUGAGAGGGAGCUGGCUGAGGCAAAGAUCCAUCAUGUGAACAUGAUAGAUGUCCUCUUUGAGCUGGUGCUGUUUGGGAUGAUGACAGCUCAGAAGUCCCUGAUGGUGCACCCUGGUGGGUUCGUGGAGCGUCUGUACGCUCUCCUGUCCUCCUUCCUGCCCACUGCUGCCAACAUGGAGCCAGAGGCUGAUAGAAUCCUACUGCUGCUCAAUGUAAGAGUCAAGAGGUUACUUCCUGUUUACUUCCAUAUUCUUAGUGUACUUCCUUUUGACUUCCUUAUUCAUGGUUAACCAGCUUUCAGUAUUUCUAAUUGUCUCUCUCCUCUUGAUAAGCUAGUAACUCAGAGCCAUUUUCUAUGUGUUGUGUGGUGUUCUCUUCAGGGCGGACUGAUGGCUCUGCUAGAUGACAUGUUUGGCCAGCAGCUGGCCUGGUAUUUUAACUCCGAGUCUCUGGUCACUGAGCUCUCCAUCCUCCUGGAGUACCACUUGGAGAACCUCAUGGCCAGCAUGUAGUCCUACUGCAGGGACCAUACUCCUUUCUCCUUCUCUCUCUCUUAUGAAGGAAUUGAGGACUUGAAGUGCUUUGUUGAACCCUGAUUAGUUAACACCCAUUAAUUUAAUGUAUUCUCUUGUUUUCUCUCCCCACAGGAUUAUUGUGACACUUUGCCACCCAACAGGGAUCUAGACACCAAUGCACUACAUUACUUUGCACUGAA